rfam:Myxococcus stipitatus DSM 14675, complete genome.
GCCCCUGUAGCUCAGCUGGCAGCAGCGCUGGUUUCGUAAACCAGAGGUCGUCGGUUCGAACCCGACCGGGGGCA